UGGGGAAUAUUGGACAAUGGGGGGAACCCUGAUCCAGCCAUGCCGCGUGUGUGAAGAAGGCCUUAUGGUUGUAAAGCACUUUAAGCGAGGAGGAGGCUCUCUUGGUUAAUACCCAAGAAGAGUGGACGUUACUCGCAGAAUAAGCACCGGCUAACUCUGUGCCAGCAGCCGCGGUAAUACAGAGGGUGCGAGCGUUAAUCGGAUUUACUGGGCGUAAAGCGUGCGUAGGCGGCUUUUUAAGUCGGAUGUGAAAUCCCCGAGCUUAACUUGGGAAUUGCAUUCGAUACUGGGAAGCUAGAGUAUGGGAGAGGAUGGUAGAAUUCCAGGUGUAGCGGUGAAAUGCGUAGAGAUCUGGAGGAAUACCGAUGGCGAAGGCAGCCAUCUGGCCUAAUACUGACGCUGAGGUACGAAAGCGUGGGGAGCAAACAGG
rnacentral:rRNA from 1 species